rnacentral:rRNA from 1 species
UACGAAGGGGCCUAGCGUUGUUCGGAAUUACUGGGCGUAAAGGGCUCGUAGGCGGCCAACUAAGUCGGACGUGAAAUCCCCAGGCUCAACCUGGGAACUGCGUCCGAUACUGGAUGGCUUGAAUCCGGGAGAGGGAUGCAGAAUUCCAGGUGUAGCGGUGAAAUGCGUAGAUAUCUGGAGGAAUACCGGUGGCGAAGGCGGCAUCCUGGACCGGCAUUGACGCUGAGGAGCGAAAGCCAGGGGAGCAAACGGG